AGUUCUUAACUGUAGACUCUCGCUUUAGCUGGAUAGGAAGAAUUUCUGGACCACUUUGGGGAAGAUCUUUAUAUGUUAAAGCAAGAGUAAGGGUGGAGAGUUAUCCAUUAAGAUGUUGAUGUCUUUUUAAAUAUUCUGAACAUGAGUAAGAACAUCAAACUAUGACUUGUAUUUGCAUAAAUUGAAGCUUUCAGUAAAAUGCUUUUCUUUGACACUGAAAAGUGCAGAAUCUCUUACUAGCAUUGAGCAGGAGAAGGGGAAGCAUCACAUAGUGGAAAGAAUAUUAGUCUUAAGAGGGGGAAAUGAAAAUCCAAUACUGUCUUUUACUAUGUGACUGAAUUUAAUUCCUCUGACUUUUACUUUUUUCAUUCGUAAAGUAUAUAUAAUUUCUGUUGUUGAAAAGAUAAAAGAAAACUUUACAGAUAUAAAGUAUCUUUGUAGAUACAUUUUCUGGCCACUACCAUUCUGAUUUACCUUUGGGGAAAUUAUCUCCACUAUUCUCAAUUCAUGAUGUUCAGAUAGGGCUGACAAUUUCCUAAGAUCAUUGGCUGAGUUUGUGACUCAGAAUUGGCCGAUUAGAGUUCUGCAUUCUUCUGGGCAUAAUAAAUGGUCAGGAUGGACUUGGAUUAAUUCAAGCCAGGCCACUGAACCCUUCUUGAGACUUUCGUUGAAUACAUGGAGAAAGUUACAUUAUCUUUCAGAGAUAACUAUUGUCAACAGUUCCAGUUUGAUGUCUAGUGAGAUAGAUAGAGAGAGAGAGAUAUGCCAAGAGAGUAAAUCAUGGCAUUUCUGUAUGUCUAACUAUAGCAUAUUCUUCAGAAAUCACUGAGACUAUUUAUUUUCUAUUGGAAUUUCAUCUUGAUCUAAGAUCCAUCAACUUCAGUAGGAUUGCUUGGAAAUGGAUGAUAACUGAAAUUUGCUGUCAACUUAGAAACUUCAUCUGUGAUCACUAUUAUCACCUCCUCACCACCAAACCUCAAACCAAAGCUGUGCCCUCUGAAUCCAGUUGUGGGAACACCAUUUAUCAAGGAUGACUGGCAUUUUUGUUUAAAUCAUGUAGUUACUCUGCAAGGUCAAAGGAGGGCCACUACCAUGUCCAUUUUACAGACAGGGAAGAUAAUCCUGCAUUAUUAAAUGGCUAGGAAGAACGAGGCUGGGAUUAAAAUGCACGAUCUCCGAGACGUAUUUUCUAGUGCUCUUUUUGCUACAGUCGCAAAUGGAAGAAUAAGAGCUCUUGAUGCAUGGUAAUUUUACUCAGAUCUGAGAACUAGAAUUUGGCUAAAACAACUAUAUUAUAAAGAUUGAAGAAACUAGAUAGCAAAUCAAUAUUCACACAGAAUAAACUGUAAUGACCAAUUACUCCAAUUUCAAAGAAGUUAACUUGUGUUGCGGCAGCUUUGCAAUUGUUUUCUGAAGAGCUGAAGGAAUAGCUCAAUAAUGUCUGAACUGCACGUUUGGUUUUCAAAGAGCACUGUGUGCAGUGAUUUAGAAUACAACGGUGGGUCAGCAUUUAGUGACAGCAAGAACAGGCUUCAGCUUCAAGAAGCUUCCUGUGAGGUCAGCUGACAGCUCUCUCGGGACCAAAUCCUGACGUAUUAUAAGGAUAACCCAGUCUGCUCUUAAAAUGAGAGGAUUUCUAACAGGAAUUAAUCACGACCUCUUUUUCCUCUCUUUAAAAGCAAGCUGCUUUGUCAUCUUUUUUUUUUUUUUUCUGAAAUCAUCACAAAGAAAGAGUUUGAAAGGGAGUUGUUCUGCUUAAGAUAUUGCAGCAGAUAAUAGACAAAAUAAGAUGGCCGUUAUUGCUUACUGCCCGUCCAUUGCCUCUUACUCUCCUUACAGAAUACCCAAGUGGGUUUUAGGAUAACAAUGGCUUGAUUUUUAAUGUUCAUGAAUAAGAGAAGCUUGUAAGUGAGAGUCUGAAUUUGGAAGACAAUAAAGAAGCAUAGCAAGAGAGAAAAGAGCUGAAUUGGAGGGAAUAGAAUAUAAGCAACCCUUUUUCUGUAUUGCCCCAAGUGAUGUUGGCCUUGUCAAAUACAUCACAGUCUGAGCCAAGUUUUCAGCAGUGUGUGUGAACCACAGCAAGGAAAUAAAUCUAUCAUUUAAGGGCUGCAUUAAUUCCUCUAAGAAGUUGGGGAUUGUGUGUGUGUGUGUGUGUGUGUGUGUGUGUGUGUGUGUACAUGUAAAUUUAAAUCUAAUUGGUUUCAUUUCUUUUGCUCUGUGAAGUGGGAACUUAUAAAGUGUCCAAGGUUUUACUCAGGGUAGCCAUACUGUUUGGAGAGAGUGUGGCAUACCAAAGCUUGCAUGGUUAUGGAGUGUUAGAGCUGGAAAUUGUGUCCAAGCAUGUGGAAUGCUUCCCGUAUUGUCAAAGUGGCCAUUAAGUAUCUUAAAAGUUAAACGCUUUGUCUUGCACUGGGAUCAUUACUUCUGAUUUGAAGACACUUGAAAUCAAAUUCAUGUAAAUUUUAAAGAAGUUCUGCUUAAUCAUACCACACUUUCAGCCACUUUAAGUCAGGUUACCGUGAAUGGGAAAUAAUGUAAAGAACAAUCUUCAGAGAAUGAAUAGAGGGUGUCAACUUCUAACUCCUCUUCCAUGGUCACAGUUGGAUUGUCCAGUGGUGGACACCUGUCUUUAGCCAGUGAUCAGAGCUUUUAAGCACCUGAUUUGAAAGUCCUUUAGCCAGUUCUUUCUUGUUACGGAAACUGUGAAGUUUGAAAGCUAGAUUCUGUUACUUGUAGAGUCCCAACCAAUACCUUCAUUCAUUUGUUAGAGGGCUCAUGUUCUCAAAAGUUUUUCAGUGGCGUUCCAAGAAGUGAGAUAUUCCUACUUGCACAAAACCAAAAAGGACCUUGUUAAAAUACAAAUAUUAUCAAACAGGGCUGUGCAUCAUGCCUAUAACCCACACGAUUACUUUCACAUUAAUUAUCUAUCUGCUGUCCAGUCAGCAACCUUUUCAAGUCUUGGUAGAAAACUCAGCACAAGCCACUUUUGAAAGAAAAGAAAGGCCAGAAGCAAGGGUCAUAGUAGGUGGGGAUGAGACACUUAGGUUUGAGGAUAUCCAGAACAUGCAUGAUUGUGAGAAAUUAACCUCUAAAAUGCAUAUAAAAUUAUUUAGCUCUGAGAGUUGAAUGAAGAUUAAUUAGGAGAGUGCAGUUUAAGGUAUGGAAUAUGGAAUCUAGCUUUUAUUUUAUAUUCAGUAAAUGUCAUCUAUUAUCACAAUAAAAUAUUAAAUGUUUAACAUAAUUGAAUGUUUUUGGUUUAUGAACGAGUUCAAAAGCUUCCAUUACCUAAUGGUUUAAUUUUUAUUGUACAGUUCUGUAUACAAAUAUAAUAUCUUUGGGAUUUGCAAGUCUAGGAAUUAGUUUUUUUCCACACUACUUUUGCUUAUAAUAAAAUUUAUAUAUACCC